rnacentral:rRNA from 1 species
CCUACGGGAGGCAGCAGUGGGGAAUAUUGCACAAUGGGGGAAACCCUGAUGCAGCGACGCCGCGUGAGUGAAGAAGUAAUUCGGUAUGUAAAGCUCUAUCAGCAGGGAAGAAAAUGACGGUACCUGAGUAAGAAGCCCCGGCUAACUACGUGCCAGCAGCCGCGGUAAUACGUAGGGGGCAAGCGUUAUCCGGCUUUACUGGGUGUAAAGGGAGCGUAGACGGCAGUGCAAGUCUGGAGUGAAAGGCGGGGGCUCAACCCCCGGACUGCUCUGGAAACUGUACGGCUGGAGUGCAGGAGAGGUAAGUGGCAUUCCUAGUGUAGCGGUGAAAUGCGUAGAUAUUAGGAGGAACACCAGUGGCGAAGGCGGCUUACUGGACUGUAACUGACGUUGAGGCUCGAAAGCGUGGGGAGCAAACAGGAUUAGAUACCCGGGUAGUC